UGCGGCUGGAUCGUCGACAAGAAGCAUGGGUUAUUUCUUGGCAUUGGGCAUCUUCUUGUGGUGGAACUAGUACUGUUGUGCUGUUGCUGUGUGUAGCAUACGUACGCUCGGUCUGGAGAAAGAAGGGGGGAGAGACGUGGAGAGAAGAAGGGCCGGUCGCCCAGGAGGAAGGAAGACGCGGUGCGGAUAGAUAAGCUUAUCGCCAAGCUCGCAUCGCAUGACUCUCCUGUGUUCGGAGGACGCUGAGUGGUGACACCUGGAAAAGGCCGGAUUCACCCUGGCUGCUCCUGUCCGACGUGGCUGCUGGGCGCCCCCCACACCCGCGGUGACAUGCAUGGCAGUCAGACUACCAUAGCCGCGACCUCUGGCUCUGCUGGCUUUGUUUGUUUCAGUUUGGUGAGAGCACGGCAACAGAAAGUGCGUGUCCCGUCUCCCUCUCGUCGUCACUUGGUGGGCGUGAGCUGCUAGCGAGGGGGAGGGAACGAACAAUUUGGGUGGCAGAGCAAGAAAAGCACCGGUUAGUCUCUAGUCAAAUCAAAUCCAAGACUAUAACAGAAAACAUGUGGUUCCUAGUAACAUAAAACGUGUAAAGAUUUGGGGAGGUUUGGUUUGUCAUUGACUAGCUUGGGGUGGACUCGGAGUACUGCUAGCUGCUAGUAAAAUGCAUGCAUGUGUCGUGUGUGUGUGAUGUCUCUGCCUUUCCAGAUAUCCUUGAUAGAUCAUGUACUCCCCCCAGUAUUAUAUACAAAAAUACACGCGCAGGAGGUCAAUGUCA